rnacentral:rRNA from 1 species
CAGUCGCCACGGUAAUACGAAGGGGGCUAGCGUUGUUCUGAUUUACUGGGCGUAAAGGGUGCGUAGGCGGACUGAUAAGUCAGGGGUGAAAUCCCAAGGCUCAACCUUGGAACUGCCUUUGAUACUGUUAGUCUUGAGUUCGAGAGAGGUGAGUGGAACUGCGAGUGUAGAGGUGAAAUUCGUAGAUAUUCGCAAGAACACCAGUGGCGAAGGCGGCGACCUGGUCUUUUACUGACGCUGAGGCGCGAAAGCGUGGGGAGCAAACAGGAUUAGAUACCCGCGUAGUCCCUGUCUCUUAUAC